UACAGAGGUGGCAAGCGUUGUUCGGAAUUACUGGGCGUAAAGGGCGCGUAGGCGGCCUUCUAAGUCAGACGUGAAAUCCCCCGGCUUAACCUGGGAACUGCGUCUGAUACUGGAGGGCUUGAGUGCGGGAGAGGGAUGUGGAAUUCCAGGUGUAGCGGUGAAAUGCGUAGAGAUGUGGAGGAACACCAGUGGCGAAGGCGGCUUUCUGGUCUGUAACUGACGCUGAGGCGCGAAAGCGUGGGGAGCAAACAGG
rnacentral:rRNA from 1 species